GUGCUCACUUCGGCAGCACAUAUGCUAAAAUUGGAACGAUACAGAGAAGAUUAGUAUGGCCCCUGCGCAAGGAUGACAUACAAAUUUAUGAAGCAUUCCAUAUUUUU
rnacentral:snRNA from 1 species